CAUUAAGUGGCUGAACAUUUUAAGCAUUGGUCUCUUAAACCAACCUAUAGUAUUAACAUACUCUUAAUGG
rnacentral:tRNA from 2 species